GACGAACGCUGGCGGCGUGCUUAACACAUGCAAGUCGAACGGAAAGGCCCUGCUUUUGUGGGGUGCUCGAGUGGCGAACGGGUGAGUAACACGUGAGUAACCUGCCCUUGACUGUGGGAUAACUUCAGGAAACUGGGGCUAAUAUCGGAUAGGAGCUCCUGCUGCAUGGGGGGGGUUGGAAAGUUUCGGCGGUUGGGGAUGGACUCGAGGGUUAUCAGCUGGUUGGUGGGGUAGUGGCUUACCAAGGCUUUGACGGGUAGCCGGCCUGAGAGGGUGACCGGCCACAUUGGGACUGAGAUACGGACCAGACUCGUACGGGAGGCAGCAGUGGGGAAUAUUGCACAAUGGGCGGAAGCCUGAUGCAGCAACGCCGCGUGCGGGAUGACGGCCUUCGGGUUGUAAACCGCUUUCGCCUGUGACGAAGCGUGAGUGACGGUAAUGGGUAAAGAAGCACCGGCUAACUACGUG
rnacentral:rRNA from 1 species